AAAAAAAAUGGGCGCAACGCCCAUCAUUUUCAACCGAGGUCGCACCCGGGCAGCGCGAAAACUAUGUGCCCAGCGACUUCGUGAUUUUAGCCAUUU
rnacentral:sRNA from 1 species